rnacentral:rRNA from 1 species
UAUCACUAAGCGACAGCAAUACGGGUCCCUUCCUAUGCACUAGUUAGAAUUUGAAGAACGCUGUCUUGGAUUUGGCCUUUGUCUAUGUUCCUUGGAACAGGACGUCACAGAGGGUGUNNAAUCCCGUGCGAUGAGGUGUCCAUUUCUAUGAGAGAUGUUUUCGAAGAGUCNAGUUGUUUGGGAAUGCAGCUCCUAAGUGGGUGGUAAAUUCCAUCUAAAGCUAAAUAUUGGCGAGAGACCGAUAGCGAACAAGUACAGUGAUGGAAAGAUGAAAAGAACUUANAAAAGAGAGUGAAAAAGUACGUGNAAAUUGUUGAAAGGGAACGGUAUUAGAUCAGACUUGGUAUUUAGUUAUCAUUACUCCUUGUGGGUGGUGCUCUAACUUUUUACUGGGCCAGCAUCAGUUUUGGUGGCAGGAUAAUGACAUUUGAAUGUGCCCUCCUCGGAGUGUUAUAGCUUUUGUUUGAUACUGCNCUCUUCGGGACUGAGGCUCUGCGGCCUUUGCCUACGAUGCNUGGCGUAAUGAUCCAAUACC